UCUCCGUAGGUGAACCUGCGGAGGGAUCACUACAGGCUUGCAAAAGCUCUGAAACCACUGUUUAUCUGCCUGAAUCUGCUUCGGCGGGCGGCCCCAGGGCGGGGCCGUAGCCGCAAGGCGCCCGCCGAAGACCCCUAAACUCUGUCGUCUUGAGAAUCUCUGAGUAUCAUAUUAAACAAAAAACAACUUUCAACAACGGAUCUCUUGGCUCUGGCGUCGAUGAAGAACGCAGC
rnacentral:misc_RNA from 1 species